CUCGUGUCGUGAGUGUUGGGUUAAGUCCCGUAACGAGCGCAACCCUUGUCCUUAGUUACCAGCACGUUAUGGUGGGCACUCUAAGGAGACUGCCGGUGACAAACCGGAGGAAGGUGGGGAUGACGUCAAGUCAUCAUGGCCCUUACGGCCUGGGCUACACACGUGCUACAAUGGUCGGUACAAAGGGUUGCCAAGCCGCGAGGUGGAGCUAAUCCCAUAAAACCGAUCGUAGUCCGGAUCGCAGUCUGCAACUCGACUGCGUGAAGUCGGAAUCGCUAGUAAUCGUGAAUCAGAAUGUCACGGUGAAUACGUUCCCGGGCCUU
rnacentral:rRNA from 1 species